rnacentral:rRNA from 1 species
GACGAACGCUGGCGGCGUGCUUAACACAUGCAAGUCGAACGGAAAGGCCCUGCUUUUGUGGGGUGCUCGAGUGGCGAACGCGUGAGUAACACGUGAGUAACCUGCCCUUGACUUUGGGAUAACUUCAGGAAACUGGGGUUAAUAUCGGAUAGGAGCCCCUGUUGCAUGGUGGGGGUUGGAAAGUUUCGGCGGUUGUGGAUGGACUCGCGGCUUAUCAGCUUGCUGGUGGGGUAGUGGCUUACCAAGGCUUUGACGGGUAGCCGGCCUGAGAGGGUGACCGGGGACAAUGGGACUGAGAGACGGCGCAGUCUCGAACGGGGGGCAACGGUGGGGAGUAUGACACAGCGGGCGGGAGCCUGAUGCGGCGGCGCCGGGGGCGGAAUGACGGCCUUCGGGGUGUGAACCGCUUUCGCCUGAGACGAAGCGUGAGUGACGGUAAUGAGUGAAGAAGCACCGGCUAACUACGUG